rnacentral:lncRNA from 1 species
UUUACAGUAAAUAAUUCCACAACAACGAUGUAAUCAAUAUUGAACAAAAGAUAUUUUACUAUAAUUUUAUUUAAUAUUUUUCAAAACAAUGUAUAAAUGAGAUUUACACCAGUUUAUUGCAUCCUGAUUAACAGUUUAAAUACUUAAAUCAACUGAUUAAAAUCAACAGCAGUUUCCAUAACAAAUCUGAACACACAUACAAAAACAAUUCAUAUGGCAACUUAUAAUAAAUUGUCUACAAAGACAAUCUUAACAAACAUAUGUGCAAAAACUGGGAAUUUUACGGAAAGAAAUCAAGAGUAUUUGUUAAAUCUAAGCUCAAAAGCAUGAACUUGUAUUACCGGUAGUCUUUUUUUUUUGCGAAAAAUUAUAACAUUAAUGCAAAAUAAAAAUAAAAAAAUCAGCUCUAAAAAAUUCAACAAUAUAAAGUCAUUUUGAACAAAGCACAAUAUAGUUGACAUAGAAUUAAUUGAUUAAUUUCAAAGAGUAAAUCUAAAGUCAAAUAUAAUUGUCCAUCACGAUCUUGUUGUGAGGUGUAAGUAUUAUGGUUUAUUGCCAUAGAUCUUCCAGCAAGUGAUUAGACAUGUUCUGAUAUCUUGAUAAGCUGAAUACCAACUAAUCCAUGAAAAUUUGAUUUUAUACAUCAAAUCCAUAUUAUUUUACUUUUCGAUAUGCAGUAUUUCUUUUUAACAUUUUGAUUACUAGUAAACACAUAGUGUCCCCAGACUUUCAUUUUGACAAUGACAUCAACAUUUAUGCAUGUCAUUGAUUAUUUUGAUGCUUUUAUAGUUAGUAUAUAUAUAUAGCUGAAGUACAUUACUUUUCAGGUCAAUAAUUUUUCUUUUUAUUUUAUAAUUUCAUAAUAAUUAAGUUUUAAUUUUGCUGAAAUGUUAUAAAAGUUAUUAAUACUUCAAUAUAAUUAUAAUAAAUGCAUAUAUAAUCUUAUACAUAGACGCAAAUAAUUAAAAUAUCAUUUUGAUUAAACAGCUAACAUAACUGAAUGAACUCUUAAUUACAUAACAAUUGAAGACUAUCUCUAUUAAAUAUGAGAACUGAAAUUCAAAAAUUCAAAUAUGAUACUAAAAAAAAUAUUCAAUUACUUAAUUUUGCAAUGUCUGAAAUAUUAUAUGACAAUCAGGAACAAAAAUCAACACAAAAUAGGAGAGGUGUUUUGAGGGGAGAUUACAAAGGACGGAAAAAUCCAAACUGUUUUAAUCGUUUAAGAGAUAAAUGACACGAUCUUUUGCUAUACUCGAAAUUGAUAGUCCUAAGUUUGUAAAUAAAUUCUAUAAGUUCAAAACUGACAAUGUGAGAGGAUCAGUGAUGAAUCCAUUUGAUUCACAAAUUUAUUUUAUAGAUGUGAAAACUGAGAAAAUAUUCUAAAUCACUACAGCUAACAAAUGGAAUGUCUGGUCUUAUCACACAACUAAAUAAAAACAAAGUUACAUCAGUAUAACAAUCCGAGGAUAAUAUGGAUGAGUAUAAUGUGUAUAUACAUAAAUGCACAUAAUCAAAUUUAACCUCAGCUUCACUUCAUCUUCGUGAUUAAUAAGGUCAAUAUCAUUAUAGGGAAUAUUUUAAAUGUCAGGAACAUUUACAAAGAAUAGCUCAAGUCAUAUUCCUGAUCUUUUAAACAUUGAAUUAUAUCAAUGAUGUAAGCAAUUCUGAAUCAAUACAAAAAUAUUUCAGGUUCCAUCCCAUCAUUUGGAUUUAAUAGCCAUAUUUUUUUUGUUCUUUAUGUUGGAGAAAAUCUUUUUUUUUGUACGAGGGGGAAAAAGGAAAGAGACAUUGUUGUCUCAGACCAAAAGUUAAAUGAAACUUUGUUUUAAAACAAAAAUAAGAUAAAAUAUCAUUGUCCUUCAUGAUUUCUUACAGUAAAGCAACUUAAACAAUCAUUAUCUAAGUAAAGCUGAGGUAAACAUUUCAUUAUGAUUUAACUUUAUAAGUUGUAAAUGCACAAAUAAACAAAAUAUACAAUAUAAUAAUCAGCAUAUAAAAAUUAAUUGGCACAUAUAAGUUAGUAUUUUUAUCAUUUGAUAUAAAUAACAAGUUCAAAUUUUCCCAUAUGAAGAUUUCCCUAUUUAGACUACAAAACUACAGUAUAAAUUCAUUAAUUCAAGUAUUUUAAUUGAUAAAUUUUCCAUAAAAGUAAAAAACAAAAUGGCAUCUUCCUUGGCAAUCUUGGCACAAUUAAAAACAUUUAAAUAACUAAUUCUACAAUUCCUUUCAGUAAACAAAAAAAGUUGUGUUCACAAUUUAACACUAAAAAAUCUGAUGAAGCAAUGUACAUUCCAUCAUCUACUAUUAAAAACUGCUUUUUGAUAUACAAGUGUACUACUUUAAUUAAACAAUAACAAGAUGCACUGUAAGCUAUUGCUUAAUAAUUAUACCCCUACUAGGUGUUGUUUACUCGAAUUUUCUGCAAACAGGAAGUAAAAUAUCAAAAUAACUGAAAGUAACUUAAAUAUGUCACACAGUAUUGAAUAGCAUGAAACUAUGACUUGUAGUUGUUGUGAAAAAUGUGUAUUGACACACAGACAGAAAAGAUGUAAGCCAGUGAAUUCCCCUCGUUUGGAGCCAAGUAUGAAUGGAAAAUGUAUAACAUUUAAACAAGUCUAUUGUAAGCGAAUAAAUGAUGAUAAACAUGAAUUGCUAGAAAAAAGAUUUCACAACCACAGAGAAACAAGGCACAGUUUAAAAAAAUCUUAUGUUUUCUACAAAUGUACACUCCAUAGACAUGACAGCAUUUAUAAUGGUUUGCAUGAUGAAGACUAUUUACUUAUACAAAUCUUGAAAUACCUUUAAAUCAAGACAAAAUAAAUAUGGUUUCCCAACUUUGGGUAGCUUUCAUAUCAAUUCUCUGUUUAACUUAGAUAUAUAAUUAAAAGCAAUGUUUCAUUAUAUAUAUUUAAAUGCAAGUAAUACAUACAGACUAGAGUUUUUACCAUUAAAGCUAUUAUUAAAGUUUUUAUAAAAUGUGAUAUGUAGGAAUACCAAAAAUGCCUUUUACAGCAAAAUGCCUGGAGUGUGUAAGUAAACGUAAUAUCUUUGACUAGUUUGUUUGUUAGCUGAACCGUGAAACCAUUAUAACUUAAUGGUUAACUAUACUACCCUCCUUUUGAAGUAGUCAAGUCCUACAGUCAGAAAGUUUUGUUUAUCUGACGGGACAAGUCUACUCUUGAAGGAGGGUAGUAUACCUCAAUUAAUAAUGACUUCACAGUUAAGCUAGCAAGCAAGCUAACCAAAGAUAUUACCUUUAUCUGCAAACUCUAUGCAUUUUGCUGUAAGCAUUUUACAGAGUAGCAUGAUGUUACAAAAAAAGUUAUUUUUACCUGAGACCAGUUUUUAAAGCAUUUCGUAAGAUCAGGUAUAACACAACAAAUAAAAUCAAUGAAUAUUCAUAAAAAUACAAUUUUAAAUAAUAAGCAUACAUGUAUUGUUCUUAUUUAUAUGAAUAUACUGAAUACAAAUGGUUUUAGUUAAAAUAAUCAUAUAAUUAAGUUGUUGAGGAAAGUCAUUU